AUAAACAACGUGCCCCUAUGACUGGGAUAGCCCGGGGAAACCCGGAGUAAUACCGGAUGUGGCGGAGUGGAGGCAUCUCCAUUCCAUUAAAUGGUUUUUCGCAUAGGGAGCGGUUUAUGGCCUAUCAGGUAGUUGGUGGGGUAAUGGCCUACCAAGCCGACGACGGGUAGCGGGUCUGAGAGGACGAUCCGCUCGAGUGGGACUGAGACACGGCC
rnacentral:rRNA from 1 species